rnacentral:rRNA from 1 species
UGUUGCAAUACAUGGGCGGCGACCGGCAAACGGGUGCGGAACACGUACACAACCUUCCUUUUAGUGGAGAAUAGCCCAGGGAAACUUGGAUUAAUACUCCGUAAUAUUAUGAAGUGGCAUCACUUUAUAAUUAUAGCUCCGGCGCUAGAAGAUGGGUGUGCGGCUGAUUAGGUAGUUGGCGGGGUAACGGCCCACCAAGCCUACGAUCAGUAACUGGUGUGAGAGCACGACCAGUCACACGGGCACUGAGACACGGGCCCGACUCCUACGGGAGGCAGCAGUAAGGAAUAUUGGGCAAUGGACGCAAGUCUGACCCAGCCAUGCCGCGUGGAGGAUGAAGGUCCUCUGGAUUGUAAACUUCUUUUCUCUGGGGCGAAAAAAGGGCAUUCUUGCUCACUUGACNGUACCAGAGGAAUAAGCACCGGCUAACUCCGUGCCAGCAGCCGCGGUAAUACGGAGGGUGCAAGCGUUAUCCGGAUUCACUGGGUUUAAAGGGUGCGUAGGAGGGCAGGUAAGUCAGUGGUGAAAUCCCCGAGCUUAACUUGGGAACUGCCGUUGAUACUAUCUGUCUUGAAUGUUGUGGAGGUGAGCGGAAUAUGUCAUGUAGCGGUGAAAUGCUUAGAUAUGACAUAGAACACCAAUUGCGAAGGCAGCUCGCUACACAAUUAUUGACUCUGAUGCACGAAAGCGUGGGGAUCAAACAGGAUUAGAUACCCUGGUAGUCCACGCCCUAAACGAUGGAUACUCGACAUCAGCGAUACACUGUUGGUGUCUGAGCGAAAGCAUUAAGUAUCCCACCUGGGAAGUACGACCGCAAGGUUGAAACUC